rnacentral:rRNA from 1 species
UACGUAGGGGGCAAGCGUUGUCCGGAUUUACUGGGCGUAAAGCGCGCGUAGGCGGGAAAUUAAGUGAGAAGUGAAAGGCUGGGGCUUAACCCCAUGCAGUGCUCCUCAUACUGGUUUUCUUGAGGGUGGUAGAGAGAAGUGGAAUGGCUGGUGUAGCGGUGAAAUGCGUAGAUAUCAGUCGGAACACCAGUGGCGAAGGCGGCUUCUUGGGCCAUUACUGACGCUGAGGCGCGAAAGCCAGGGGAGCGAACGGG